rnacentral:rRNA from 1 species
UACGUAGGGAGCAAGCGUUGUCCGGAAUCAUUGGGCGUAAAGCGCGUGUAGGCGGCUUGGUAAGUCUGCUCUGAAAGCCCGGGGCUCAACCCCGGGAGGCGGGUGGAUACUGCUGAGCUCGAGUCCGGAAGAGGCGAGUGGAAUUCCUGGUGUAGCGGUGAAAUGCGCAGAUAUCAGGAGGAACACCGAUGGCGAAGGCAGCUCGCUGGGACGGUACUGACGCUGAGACGCGAAAGCGUGGGGAGCAAACAGG